AAAGCUAAACUUGGAAAUUUGCAU
rnacentral:siRNA from 1 species